CUGGAGUCAGGGGUCCAAGAGUCCCAGAGUCAGGGGCCCUGGCGUCCACGGUCCCAAGGUCAGAGGUCACAGGGUCAGGGGUCUGCAGUCUCUGCUGCCCGGCCCACCCAGUGAACUGCCACUCAGCGCCCAGGAAACCGAGCAGCCCCUGCACCGGCGGCCACACGGAGAGAAAGCGCCACUGUGACAUCCGCCAACCCCUGUCGCCCGUCCCCCCCACCCCCACUUCAGGACGGGUCAGCACCGCGCCGCCUCCGUGCGGUCCCACACCCGCAGCGGCCGAGCCUCACGACGCCGACAGCCCGAGACGUCCUCCCAGCCGCCCUUGCGGCGGGGUGCGGCCACGUGAGCUGGCUCGGCCAAUGGGAGGCACCAGCGCACGUAGGCCGGGCAUGCGCAGGAGCGCCUUCAGCACCGCGUUCUGGAGGCAGAGUCGGCGGCCCCGAUUGGCCGAGCCCGGUCACGUGGCAGUGCCCCGGGAUUCCCUUCCAGGCGCCAGUGUAGGCGGGUCGGGAGUGUCGCAGGCUUCCGGGCCACUGGCGUUUCCGGUUCUGAGUGGCAGAAAUGGAGGCUGAACCCUGAUCACGUGGUACCUGCAGUCCACCCAGGUCUCUGCAGUGACUUGAGUCACUGAAACCUGUAUUGCUUAAGCUGGUUUGAGCUGAGCAUUCUGUUACUUGCAAAGUAAAAACACAGACUUGAAACAGAGACACAUACGGGUCAGAAUGACCUGGAGAAAUUAAAAUUUUA
rnacentral:lncRNA from 1 species